AAAUUAGAAGAGAUCUACCCCCGGCUGGUAUCAGGCGGUGGUUUUGCGAUAUUAAGGAGUGCUUUAUCACCCAAAGAUUUGUAUCUUAUUACCCCUCCACUAAAUAUUGGACAAUCUGUCCACUUUCUUCGUGAUAGUUCUGGCUUAGGGCAGGCAAUUGCAUAUAUUAGAUCCAUUCAAGCUGAUCUAGAUUCCUAAUGCUUGGAAACGAAUGAUCACGCUUAUGCAGGAGAUCCUCCAGAAAACAAGGUAUAUCUAUUGCAACAACAGGAAAUGCUAAAAUUGUUCAGUCCAGAUUCCAAUGAAUUCAAUCAGGAAUCAUAUGAUUGAAUGUGGAUUGGACAAUCACCAUAAACAGUCAAGAUCAAUGUAUGAUAUAAGCUUGCAUUAAUUCCUAUUACACACUCACUAUAAAAAUGUCACACUGUUUUUUGUUUACCUACUUAUCUUGAAAAUUGAAUAAAUAAGUUUUUAUCAGGCAAA